CGCAGUCCUGGGAUGAUGAUACCACAUACUCCCAUCCAUGAACUGCACACCGUUGGAUCGACAAGCUUCUAAUAUCCGAUCAAGCUGAGUUGCAUCAAGGGCUGUGGGUUUCUCCAGCAACAAAUGCUUCUUCUUUUCAGCAUCCAGAACAGCCCAUUCCAAGUGAAGACUUGUGGGCAGGGGCAUAUAAACAGCGUCCACUAAAGGGUCAUCCAGCAAUUCGCUGUAGCUUCCAUAGAUCACCACUUGUUGGUCUGAGUAGCCAUUUUCGGUGGCAAAUUGCUGGGCUUUUUCUAAGGAUCUACUGGCAAUGGCGUAAAGGGUUGAAUUGGGAGACAUUUUGAUGGCUCUUGACACUUUUGUUGCGGCCUUAGCACAUCCCAUGAUUCCGAAACGGAUCGCUUUUGUAUGCUCGGCCAUUGCUUUUGUGAUGAGAGUAUGUUGCUGUGUUUUUUGCUGCUUCUUUGCUUGGGUAGUGGAAGGGACAGUGACUCAGUGAGGUUGAUAUAGUUGGUUACUUGGUUGAUAUAGUUGAUACGUGUGUUGUUUUGUGCCUUUUGUUUACAAUGAAUUUAGUAAACUAUACUUAUAAAUAAUGCA